UACGUAGGUGGCGAGCGUUAUCCGGAUUUACUGGGCGUAAAGCGUGUGCAGACGGGUCAACAAGUGAUGUAUGAAAUUCUGGUGCUCAACAUCGGGAGGGUAUGUCAGACUGUUGGUCUAGGGUGCAAGAGAGGGAGAUGGAAUUCCGGGUGUAGUGGUGAAAUGCGUAGAGAUCCGGAGGAACCCCUGAGGCGAAGGCGGUCUCCUGGCUUGUAACCGACGUUCAGACACGACAGCACGGGUAGCGAACGGG
rnacentral:rRNA from 1 species